UCCUUUUGUAUAUAAUUUAAGGUCUAGCCUGCCCACUGAAAUUUUAAAUGGCCGUGGUAUUUUGACCGUGCUAAGGUAGCAUAAUCAUUAGUUUUUUAAUUAAAAACUGGAAUGAAAGGUUGGAUGAGAAAAUAGCUGUCUCUAUUAGAUUUAAUUAGAAUUUUAUUUUUAAGUUAAAAAGCUUAAUUAUUAUUAAAAGACGAGAAGACCCUAUAGAGUUUAAUUAUUUAGUAAAAAUUAUAUUUUAGUAUUAAUUUAUUUAUUUUAUUAAAUAAUUUAAUUGGGGUGAUUGAAAAAUUUAAUUAACUUUUUUUAUUUAAGAACAUUAAUUUAUGAAUAAAUGAUCCAAUAUUUUUGAUUAUAAGAUAAAAUUACCUUAGGGAUAACAGCGUAAUUUUUUUAGAAAGUUCAUAUUAAAAAAAAAGAUUGCGACCUCGAUGUUGGAUUAAAAUAAAUUUUUGGUGUAGAAGCUAAAAUAUUAGGUCUGUUCGACCUUUAAAAUUUUACAUGAU
rnacentral:rRNA from 1 species